AACAGGAUUAGAUACCCUGGUAGUCCACGCCGUAAACGAUGUCGACUUGGAGGUUGUUCCCUUGAGGAGUGGCUUCCGGAGCUAACGCGUUAAGUCGACCGCCUGGGGAGUACGGCCGCAAGGUUAAAACUCAAAUGAAUUGACGGGGGCCCGCACAAGCGGUGGAGCAUGUGGUUUAAUUCGAUGCAACGCGAAGAACCUUACCUACUCUUGACAUCCAGAGAACUUAGCAGAGAUGCUUUGGUGCCUUCGGGAACUCUGAGACAGGUGCUGCAUGGCUGUCGUCAGCUCGUGUUGUGAAAUGUUGGGUUAAGUCCCGCAACGAGCGCAACCCUUAUCCUUUGUUGCCAGCGAUUCGGUCGGGAACUCAAAGGAGACUGCCGGUGAUAAACCGGAGGAAGGUGGGGAUGACGUCAAGUCAUCAUGGCCCUUACGAGUAGGGCUACACACGUGCUACAAUGGCGCAUACAAAGAGAAGCGACCUCGCGAGAGCAAGCGGACCUCAUAAAGUGCGUCGUAGUCCGGAUCGGAGUCUGCAACUCGACUCCGUGAAGUCGGAAUCGCUAGUAAUCGUGGAUCAGAAUGCCACGGUGAAUACGUUCCCGGGCCUUGUACACACCGCCCGUCACACCAUGGGAGUGGGUUGCUCCAGAAGUAGCUAGUCUAACCUUCGGGAGGACGGUUACCACGGAGUGAUUCAUGACUGGGGUGAAGUCGUAACAAGGUAACC
rnacentral:rRNA from 1 species